UUACAGUACUUGAUUGUUUGUACAUAAAAUUAACAAGUUAGGGCACAUCACCUUUUGUGUUUAAUAAACCUAAAUAUACAUUAAGUAACAUGAUCAUUCUAUGUUAACAUAGAAUUAUAUGUUAAGAAAGCUAUAAUU